CACUCCUGCGGGAGGCAGCAGUGGGGAAUAUUGCACAAUGGGCGCAAGCCUGAUGCAGCCAUGCCGCGUGUAUGAAGAAGGCCUUCGGGUUGUAAAGUACUUUCAGCGGGGAGGAAGGCGAUAAGGUUAAUAACCUUGUCGAUUGACGUUACCCGCAGAAGAAGCACCGGCUAACUCCGUGCCAGCAGCCGCGGUAAUACGGAGGGUGCAAGCGUUAAUCGGAAUUACUGGGCGUAAAGCGCACGCAGGCGGUCUGUCAAGUCGGAUGUGAAAUCCCCGGGCUCAACCUGGGAACUGCAUUCGAAACUGGCAGGCUAGAGUCUUGUAGAGGGGGGUAGAAUUCCAGGUGUAGCGGUGAAAUGCGUAGAGAUCUGGAGGAAUACCGGUGGCGAAGGCGGCCCCCUGGACAAAGACUGACGCUCAGGUGCGAAAGCGUGGGGAGCAAACAGGAUUAGAUACCCGAGUAGUCCC
rnacentral:rRNA from 1 species